UGGUCAAUAGCCUAACGGCUGAACCAGCAACUUGGAGGAACGAAAACCGAAGUCAUGAGCGGUUGCCAUGUUAAUUGAAUGUGGGGCAUAAUUGCGAAUAGUUCGAAAUAAAUCUUGAUAAUGACAUAAUUUGUUUCAAGGUCUUGACCAACUCAUGUGCCAGCAGUCGCGGUAAGACAUGGAAGGCCAGCGUUAUUCAUCUUUAUUAGGUUUAAAGGGUACCUAGACGGUAAAUAUUCGCUUUUUUCUCUAAAGAUUAUUGUACUUAUUUACUAGAGUUUUAUGUAAGGAAGUUCAGAACGGUGAGUGUAGGGAUCAAAUCCGUUGAUACCACUUAGAAACUGGUAUAGGUGAAAACAGGGUCUUAUGUAGUAACUGACGUUGAGGGACGAAGGCUCAACACAAGCAACGGGAUUAGUUACCCCAGUACUAAGAGCAGACAAUGAUGAAUGUUAUACGUAAGAUAAAUUUUUUUUGUAUAAAUGAAAAUGAAAGCAUUCCACCUCAAGAGUAAUAUGGCAACAUAUAAACUGAAAUCAUUAGGCCGUUUCUGGAAUUCGUAAUGAAGUAUGUUAUUUAAUUUGAUAGCCCCCAAAGGACCUUACCACAAUGUGUAUAGCUAUAUACGUAAGUAUAUUUCGGACAAGUGUUGCACGGCUGUCUGCAGUUGAUGCCGUGAGGAUUGGAGCAAUUCAUAAAUCAACGAAAUCCCUGACUUUAUUUAAAUUAAAGUAUUAAUACUGGUAUAUGUGUCCAUAUCCAAAUUUAAUAAAUGGGAACAUGACAAGUCAUCAUGGCCAAACAUACAAAUUGAUAGUAUUGUGGGCGAUAGACGUGCCACGUUUAACUUAGACAAAAAGAUGCACAAUCGAAAGAUCUAGCUAAUCUUUAAAAUAAGAAAGAGUAUGGAUU
rnacentral:rRNA from 1 species